AUUAAAAUUAUUAAUAUUUUUAUUUUUUUUUGAUUUUUUAUAAAAGUAAUUUAUUUAUUUAGAGUUUUAGUAUUUAGUAAAAAUUAAUUUAUAGAUUUAUAGUUUAAUAGUAUUGUAAAAGAAUUAAUUAAAUUUUUAAAAGAAUAUUUUUAGUACCUUUUGUAUCAGGGUUGAUUAAAAUUUUUAAUUUUUUUUUAAUUUCUCAAAAUUUAUAGAGUUAAUUUUAUUAUUAAUUUAUUGUGUUAUAAAUAUUUAAAAAAUAAUAUUAGUUUUGAAAUUUAAUUCGUUAUAUUAUAUUUAGUUAUUUAAGAUUUAAAUUUAAUUUAAAAUUUUAAAAGUUAUAUUGAUUUUUUAUAUUAAUAUUUUAAAUUUAAAUUAUUUUAGGGAUAAGCUUGAAAUUUUUAUAUAAUAAUUUAUUUAUUUUAAUAAUUUAUAGGAAUAGAAAUUUUUAUUUAAGUUUGUAAAAAUUUAUUAUUUAUUUAUUUUUAAUUUAUUAUAAAUUUAUUUAUUUUUUAUAUUAAAUUUUAUUAAUUAAUAUUUAAUUAAUAGUAAUAAUGAUUAAAUUAGUAUAAUUUUUAUUUAUAAAUUAUGAAUUCGGCAAAAAUUAUUUUCAUCUGUUUAACAAAAACAUUGUAUUAAGUUUAAUUUAAUAUAGGAUCUGCUCAAUGAUUUAUUAAAUAGCUGCAGUAUUUUGACUGUGCAAAGGUAGCAUAAUAAUUAGUCUUUUAAUUGAGGACUUGUAUGAAAGAUUUGAUGAGAAAUAAACUUUAUUAUUUAUAUAAUUAAAAUUUUAUUUUUAAGUAAAAAAGCUUAAAUUAUUUAAAGGGACGAUAAGACCCUAUAAAACUUUAUAAAUAUUAAUUUUGAUUUUUUUGGAUUUAUAAAUAUUUUAAUUUUAUUAUUUAUUUUAUUGGGGUGAUAAAAAAAAUUAUUAAACUUUUUUUAAAAUUUUACAUUAUUUAAUGAGUAUUUGAAUUAAAAUUUUUAAUUAAAGGAAAAAGUUACUUUAGGGAUAACAGCGUAAUUAAUUUUUUAAGUUCAAAUUUAAAAAUUAGUUUGCGACCUCGAUGUUGAAUUAAGAUUAAUCUUAGGUGCAAAAUUUUAAGUAUUAGGUCUGUUCGACCUUUAAAUUCUUACAUGAUUUGAGUUCAAACCGGUGUAAGCCAGGUUGGUUUCUAUCUUUUAAAAAAUAAAUUAUUUUAGUACGAAAGGAUUAAAUAAUUGAAUUAAAUUUUUAUUAAAUGAAUUAAAUUAAUUU
rnacentral:rRNA from 1 species